rnacentral:rRNA from 1 species
AAACUUGAGAGUUUGAUCCUGGCUCAGAACGAACGCUGGCGGCAGGCCUAACACAUGCAAGUCGAACGAUAAGCUUCUUCGGAAGUGGACAGUGGCAGACGGGUGAGUAACGCGUGGGGAUCUGCCCAGAGGUUCGGGACAACCAUUGGAAACGAUGGCUAAUACCGGAUAAGCCCGCAAGGGGAAAGAUUUAUUGCCUUUGGAUGAACCCGCGUAAGAUUAGCUAGUUGGUGAGGUAAUGGCUCACCAAGGCGACGAUCUUUAGCUGGUCUGAGAGGAUGAUCAGCCACAUUGGGACUGAGACACGG